GGAUAGCUCAGUUGGUCAGAGUGUGGUGCUUAUAAUGCCAAGGUCGUAGGUUUGAUCCCCAUAAGGGACA